AUAAAAAACACUGGGUUUAAUUGAACAUGUUUAGUUUAAAAAUUCCUACGUUUAGUUGAACAUGUUUAGUUGGAAAAUCAAGGGGUAGAGCCACCUUAAUUUAACAUUUUUAGCUUAAAAACCACUGGGUUUAAUUGAACAUUUUUAGCCUAAAAAUCACUCGGUUUUAUUGAACAUUUUUAGCUUGUUAAAAAAAAGUUUAACUCCAAAAAAAGCAAAUAUUAAUUAUGUUGGGAGUUAAAUUAAUUUAAAAAAUAAGACCAAACAACAGCAGGCCGCAGGGGGGAGGGGGCAGCAGUGACAUUUGUUCCCCCCCCCCCCAAUAAUUUUUCAAAUAAAUAAUUUUGAAAGAAUUGACUGAAAAAAUUACUAAAAAAAAAGUUCCUUAAAACUAUUUCGGGGCUCUUUAAUGCAGCAUUGUCCCCCCCACCCCCCUCCUUAAUAUAAUUUUUAUUCCUACGGGCCUAAACAGUAUUCUAUACAAGUACAAAUAAGAUAUAUAGAAAGGUAGAAAACAAAAUCAGUAGUAAGAAAAUGGUUAACACAAGUUAGAUUACGACAAAUGUACGUAAUAACUGUUAACAAGUCAGCAGUAGAACGAGACGAUCAAAACCUGUACAGGUUGUCAGAGAGAGGUUGUCAGAGAGUAAGCUGUUUCUCUCAAGAUUUCAAAAGUUUGUUAAUCAAAAGCUUUGCUAAUAAAAAUAAUUUGUAAAUAUUUUAAGAUAUCAAAGCGAUUUUCAGAGUUUUUAAAGAAAUCAUUUUCCAGUAGGGGGGAAGGAUUUAGUACGUUUAAAACAGAGCACACGUGUAAACGUUUAAAACAGACCACACGUGUAAACAUUUAAAACUGAGCACACGUGUAAACGAAGAAAGUUAACGAAGUUAAUUUGUUUUUUUUUGAUUAUUCUUAUGGAGAAUGAAAGGGUAGUUACUAUGGCAAUGUUACUAUGGGAAUGCUAAGGGAAUUGAUGUCAAUUCAAUCUGACACAAUUUUAAAGUGUUUUAAAGAAACAUUCAGAUGCUUCCAAGAAAAAAUUGAUAGCUUAGAAAAAGAUGUUGGAGACCUUAAACGUGGCCUUAAUUUUAACGGUGAUCAACUUGAGACAACGAUAAGCAAAGUUGACAAAAAAUGAAUGAAAUUAAAACUUCGUUAAUUGGAAUAAAAUCAUUUCAAGGAAAAUUAGUCAGCGAAUCGACCGAGAAUAAAAGAAAAACAGUCGACUUGGAAGAUCGCAAUCGCCAAAACAAUUUGCAAAUUGUGGGUGUUGAAGAGGGACCAAAUGAGACAUACGAUGAUGUUUUAAAAAAACUAAAAACGCUUAUUAAAAAGGAAUACGCUUAUUAAAAGAUAUAUAUACGGAAACGCUUAUUAAAAAUAAAUGAACCAAUAACUAUUUGAAAACAAGCCGAGGACAAUUAUUUGCAAACUAUUAAACUGGCUGGAAAAAGAAAACGUUCUGGCUAGGACAAGAAAUCUUAAGUGGAAAAAUAUUUUGAUUAAUGAAGGCUUUAGUGAAGAAACUAUAAGAGUCCGCAAAGAAUUAUUUGCACAGGCAAAAAUGCAUCGAAGUCAAGGAAAAUAUGCGAAGGUAGUAUACAACCGCCUGGUCGUAAGAGAAAUACCGAGUAUAAGCAAUGUGACGACAAACAAAGAUAAGCGAAAACAAAUUUAUUUUUAUUGUUUUUAUUUUUUAUAUUACUUAUUGACUUUGAUUAAAAGUUAUUAAACAAUUUAAUAAAAAAUGAGUUCAACUAACAAGAAUAAUAUAACAAAUAACAUCGAAAACUUAAAGUCUCCAAUUUUAAAUUUUUUGAGAACUAACAAAAACAAAUAUAGUUUUUUAACUGAAAUAAAUAUAAGUUGUCUCGACAGCUCAUACUAUAAACCUGACGAGUCUACUCGAGAAAUAGACAAUAAAGAUUUUAGUAUCCUAAGUAUAAACAAAAGAUUAAUGAAUAAAAACUUUGAAGCUUUUAAACAUUUUGAUGUUUUAUCUCAGAAAUCUUUUUGAUGUUAUAUCUCAGAAACUUGGGAAGAUACAAAACUGUCUUUGUCAGAAAAUAUUUCGUACAAUUUAUCAUCUUAUAAAAUAAUAAGUCAACCACGUGUUUGAAGCAUGGGAGGCGGCGUUGUAAUAUAUAUUCUUGACAAGCUUGUAUUUAAAGCAAAAAAGACUUUUUGUAAAGCAAACAAACAUAUUGAAACUUAGUGUAUUGAAAUUCUAAAUAAAACUGGUGAGCCUUUUUUAAUCUCCUUGCUUUAUCAACCAACAUGCGGUAGGCGCUAAACUGUAGCUUUACCUAAAAUUACUUGUAUUUGUUAAGAAUUUUUAUAUUUUUUACCUAGGUUAACCCUUGCCCUGUAGGUAAAUGAUUUUUUGAUUUAAUUUACUCAGUCUGUGUCACAUGUCAAAUAAAGUAAAAAAUAAAUUACGGCAUUCCGGCUUGAAAUAUUAUAAUUCCGUCCGGAACCGGCAUGACAUAAAAGUCACAAAUUCCGGAAUUCCGGUACAUCACUAGUAUAAUUCACGUUUUUGUUAUUAGUAAAUCAAUAAACUUUUAAAGAGCCGCAAUGACGUUCUAAGAGCGCAUGCAGCUCGCAAGCCGCUAUUUGACCAUCCCUGCCUUAGAACAAUUAUAUAGCAAAUGAGUAUUCAGAAUUUUGCUGGUGAUUUAAACUUGAAUUCUAUGUGUUAUAAAAAGUAAAUACAAAAAAUUUUUUUAAUUUAAUACUUGAAUUUAACAUUCUAACAAUUUUAAGCGAGUAUUACAAAAACUACUUUGAUCGCAAUUUUAACUAAUAAUUAUUUAGAUCAUUUUGAAUCAGGUAUUUUUAUUAAAGAUUUCUCUGAUCAUUUUCCUAUCUAUCAUAUUGCGCACGAAGUUUCAUCUAAUGACGACAAUAAAAAAAUAUUUGUUACUAAAAAAAAAUAUUUGUUUUUACGAAUUUAACAAAGACUAUUUGAACUAAAGCGUAACAAGUCAUGUGGAUAUGACGACAUUACCAGUAAUCUAUUUAUAAUCUAUGUUAUCGAUAGUAUAAGUAAACCAUUAUUUUAUUUAAUAGCAUUUUCAUUUGAGAAUAGGAUAUUUCCUGAUAAAUUAAAAUCAGCCAAAAUUCACCCAGUUUUUAAAAGUGGUGAUUGUUUUUCUGUUUGCAACUACCGCCCUAUAUCACUACUCCCUGUCUUUUCAAAAAUAUUUGAAAGGAGAUACUGCUCUAUUGAACAUACUAUCAUUGAACUUUCAAAUAAAAUAUCUAUGUCCUUGAAUAAAGGAGAGCAAGUACUAGGAGUAUUUAUCGAUCUCUCUAAGGCAUUCAAUACUGUUGAUCACGGAAUUUCGUUUUCAAAGUUAAAGCAUUACGGCAUUAAAGACCUAACAUAUAUCUUUUUAAUAGAAAACAGUUUGUU
rnacentral:lncRNA from 1 species